AGCAGGGAGAACCCUUUCUCCCUCCUGCCUGGAGAGUGUAGUAGCUAACUCAAUUAUCUCUCUGCGGGGCUGCAGGGGGGCACUUGAGCCAAGGAGCAGGAAGGCCAAGUCACUGCAAACAAGGAAGUGUGGGAACUAGUGCUCUCUAGAGCCUCUCUUGUCAGUGAUCACCAAGGCCAGGCUGUGGCUGUGGGAGUGGCUACUGAAGUGACCAGAAGAUGGUGGUUAAGAACCUGGAAUCCGGGGACAAAGAAUCCCAAAUCCGGAAUGCAGGAUUCAGGCCAGAGAGAGUGCGGCCCCGAGCCACCUUUCAUGAAGUAUCCGCGGUGGACAGGCAUGCAGACCACGCUCUCCCUUUGAAAAC